rnacentral:rRNA from 1 species
ACCUCAGCUCAGGCAAGAACACCCACUGAGUUUAAGCAUAUAAUUAAGCGGAGGAAAAUAAACUUACAAGGAUUCCCCUAGUAGCAGCGAGUGAACCAGGAAGAGCCCAGCAUGAAAAUACGGUGGCAGCUUCGUCUGAAUUGUAGUCAGUAGAAGCGUCCUCAGCGGCGGACCUGGGCCAAGUCCCUUGGAAGGGGGCGCCUGAGAGGGUGACAGCCCCGUCGGCCCGGGACCCUGCCGCAUCACGAGGCGUUGUUGGUGAGUCGGGUUGUUUGGGAAUGCAGCCCUAAUUGGGUGGUAAAUUCCAUCCAAGGCUAAAUACGGGCGAGAGACCGAUAGCGAAAAAGUACCGUGAGGGAAAGAUGAAAAGGAAUUUGAAAGGAGAGUUAAAGAGUGCUUGAAAUUGCUAGGACGGAAGUGGAUGGAGGCUGUCGAUACGUCUCGGUCAGAUGUGGAACGGCUCAGGCUAGUCCACCGCUCGACUUGAGGUGCAAACCAACACGGGCUGCUGCAUCAUCACAAGAGCGUGUGAAUUGCCACCUGUCAAUUUGCCGCUGCGAUGGUCGAGGAACGAAGCGUGCGCCCUUAUGGCAGGCUGUGUGGACCUGCGCGCUUGUUGUGUUGGUUGGCGGGCUUUCCAUUUGAAUCAUCUUGAAACACGGACCAAGGAGUCUAACAUGUGUGCAAGUCGGCGGGUUUGAAAACCUGCGAGGCAUAAGGAAGCGGAUGGGCGAGAUCCCCUCUCUUGGGGGGAUGCAUCGUCGACCAACCUUGAGCAUAUGUGAAGGGUUCGAGUGCGAGCACACCUAUUGGGACCUGAAAGAUGGUGAACUAUGCCUGAGCAGGGCGAAGCCAGAGGAAACUCUGGUGGAGGCUCGUAGUGAUACUGACGUGUAAAUUGUUCAUUUGACAUGGGUAUAGGGGCGAAAGACUAAUCGAACCAUCUAGUAGCUAGUUUCCUCCAAAGUUUCCCUCAGGAUAGCUGGAGCUCAUGCGCGAGUUUUAUCGGGUAAAGCAAAUGAUUAGAGGCAUCGGGGGCGUAAUGCCCUCGACCUAUUCUCAAACUUUAAAUAGGUAAGAAGGUGUGGCUGCUCCAUUGAGCCGCGCUGUGGAAUCGAGAGCUCCAAGUGGGCCAUUUUUGGUAAGAAGAACUAGCGAUGUGGGAUGAACCGAAAGUCGAGUUACGGUGUCGAAUUGCACACUAACCUAGAUCUCACAAAGGGUGUUGGUUGAUUAAGACAGUAGGACGGUGGUCAUGGAAGUCAAAAACAGCUGAGUGUGUAACAACUCACCUGCCGAAUCAACUGGCCCCGAAAAUGGAUGGUGCUGAAGCGCACAACCUAUACUCGACCGUCGGAGCAAUUGCAUGGCUCCGAUGAGUAGGAGGACACGGGGGUCAUUGAGAAACCUUGGGCGUGAGCUUGGGUGGAUCGGCCCCCAGUGUAGAUCUUGGUGGUAGUAGCAAAUAUUCAAAUGAGAGCUUUAAAGACUAAAGUGGGGAAAGGUUCCAUGUGAACAGCACUUGGACAUGGGUUAGUCGAUCCUAAGAGAUGGGGAAGCCUUGUAUCAAGGGUGCACUCUGCAUGAGCAUCGAAAGGGAAUCGAGUUAAUAUUCCCAAACCAGGACAUGGCGGUAGGCGACAACGUUAGGAAAUCCGGAGACGUCGUCGGGGGCCCCAGGAAGAGUUAUAUUUUCUUUUUAAUAGCUUGCCCACCUUGGAAUCGGUUCACCCGGAGAUAGGGUCCAGUAGCUGGAAGAGCACCACAUGUCUUGCCAUGUCUGGUGCGCCCUCAGCGGCCCUUGAAAAUCUGGAGGACUGAGUACCGUUCAUGCUUGGUCAUACUCAUAACCGCAUCAGGUCUCCAAGGUGAAGAACCUUUGGUCAAUAGAACAAUGUAGGUAAGGUAAGUCAGUAAAACAGAACCGUAACUUUGGGAAAAGGAUUGGCUCUGAGGGCUGGGCCUAGGGGUCUACGCCUUCAACUCGUGGGCUGUUGGCAACCUACCGGAGCUGCUUGCGCGGUGAGGGUGGGUAGUCGCAUGCCGAUUGGGCUACGGGUAUAGAAUGCCCCCUACUGGGGGCUUUUCCCUAGGCGUCAAACAGUCGACUCAGAACUGGUACGGACAAAGGGGAAUCUGACUGUUUAAUUAAAACAAAGCAUUGUGAUGGUCCCUGUGGAUGCUGAUGCAAUGUGAUUUCUGCCUAGUGCUCUGAAUGUCAAAGUGAAUAAAUUCAACCCAGCACGGGCAAACAGCAGGAGUAACUAUGACUCUCUUAAGCUAGCCAAAUGCCUUGUCAUCUAAUUAGUGAUGUGCAUGAAUGUAUUAACGAGAUUCCCACUGUCCCUAUCUACUAUCUAGUGAAACCACGGCCAAGGGAACGGGCUUGGUAGAAUCAGCGGGGAAAGAAGACCCUGUUGAGCUUGACUAUAGUCCGACUUUGUGAAAUGACUUGAGAGGUGUAGAAUAAGUGGGAGCCAUUUUCGGCGCAAGUGAAAUACCACUACUUUUAAUGUAGGUACAUCUGUUAAAAGAUAACACACAUAUGUUAAAAGAUAACACAGGUGUCCUAAGAUGAGCUCAAUGAGAAUAGAAAUCUCGUGUGGAAAAAAAGGGUAAAAUCUCAUUUGAUUUUUAUUUUCAGUACGAAUAUAAACCGUGAAAGCGUGGCCUAUCGAUCUUUUAGAUUUUUAGAAUUUUAAGCUAUAGGUGUCAGAAAAGUUACCACAGGGAUAACUGGCCUGUGGCAGCCAAGCGUUCAUAGCGACGUUUCUUUUUGAUCCUUAGAUGUCGGCUCUUCCUAUCAUUAUGAAGCAGAAUUCACCAAGUGUUAGAUUGUUCACCCACCAAUAGGGAACGUGAGCUGGGUUUAGACCAUCGUGAGACAGGUUAGUUUUACCCUACUAAUGAACCGCACUGCAAUAUUAAUUAAACUUAGUACGAGAGGAACCAUUGAUUCACACAGUUGGUCAUCACUGUUGUGUAGGUAAAUCCCCUCUGCAUACAAAGGUGAUCCCACUAGCCUAACUGAGGUCUAGUAACAAUCAAACAACGCUAACACGCAGGUUCCUAAUUGCAAAAUAAAGGCCAAGAUGAGAGCCUACCCCGAAUCCAAUGCUUAUAUUCGUAGAAGGGUCUUCGCUUCCAUUCUUUCGCUUCAGUUGCUCACAAUCCUCACAAUCUUCGU